rnacentral:rRNA from 1 species
GACGAACGCUGGCGGCGUGCUUAACACAUGCAAGUCGAACGGUAAGGCCCUUCGGGGUACACGAGUGGCGAACGGGUGAGUAACACGUGGGUGAUCUGCCCUGCACUUCGGGAUAAGCCUGGGAAACUGGGUCUAAUACCGGAUAGGACUCCGGACUGCAUGGUCUGGGGUGGAAAGCUUGUGCGGUGUGGGAUGGGCCCGCGGCCUAUCAGCUUGUUGGUGGGGUGAUGGCCUACCAAGGCGACGAGGGGUAGCCGGCCUGAGAGGGUGACCGGACACACUGGGACUGAGAUACGGCCCAGACUCGUACGGGAGGCAGCAGCGGGGAAUAUUGCACACUGGGCGCAAGCCUGAUGCAGCGACGCCGCGUGAGGGAUGACGGCCUUCGGGUUGUAAACCUCUUUCAGCACCGACGAAGCGCAAGUGACGGUAGGUGCAGAAGAAGGACCGGCCAACUACGUGCCAGCAGCCGCCGUAA